rnacentral:rRNA from 1 species
CACGUAGGGCGCAAGCGUUGUCCGGAAUUAUUGGGCGUAAAGAGCUCGUAGGCGGUCUGUUGCGUCCGCUGUGAAAACUCGGGGCUUAACCCCGAGCCUGCAGUGGAUACGGGCAGACUAGAGGUAGGUAGGGGAGAAUGGAAUUCCCGGUGUAGCGGUGAAAUGCGCAGAUAUCGGGAGGAACACCGGUGGCGAAGGCGGCAUCCUGGACCAUGACUGACGCUGAGGAGCGAAAGCCAGGGGAGCAAACGGG